AACGAACGCUGGCGGCAGGCUUAACACAUGCAAGUCGAGCGCCCCGCAAGGGGAGCGGCAGACGGGUGAGUAACGCGUGGGAAUCUACCCAUCUCUACGGAAUAACGCAUGGGAACGUGUGCUAAUACCGUAUACGUCCUUCGGGAGAAAGAUUUAUCGGAGAUGGAUGAGCCCGCGUUGGAUUAGCUAGUUGGUGGGGUAAAGGCCUACCAAGGCGACGAUCCAUAGCUGGUUUGAGAGGAUGAUCAGCCACACUGGGACUGAGACACGGCCCAGACUCCUACGGGAGGCAGCAGUGGGGAAUAUUGGACAAUGGGCGCAAGCCUGAUCCAGCCAUGCCGCGUGAGUGAUGAAGGCCCUAGGGUUGUAAAGCUCUUUCACCGGUGAAGAUAAUGACGGUAACCGGAGAAGAAGCCCCGGCUAACUUCGUGCCAGCCGCCGCAGUAAGAC
rnacentral:rRNA from 1 species